CGCUAGCCCCGGGGUCCUCAUGCUCCCACCCGGCUCUGCUGCUUCCAGCCCCGUGGUGACCCACAGGUUGUCCCCCUUCCCCCACCGGUUCUCCCCGACACCCAUUGGUGAGAGCCUCCUCCCGCUUCUCCUAGCCCGCCUCUUCCCACAGGGCUGACAGGAGCUGAGGCAUCGCCCACCUGAAACAGAGAAGACCCCCAGAGGUGGAGCCUGAGCCCACGGAAGAAAAGGUGUAGAAAGAAACGGUGCCAGGAGGAGACACAACAGUGUGUCCGGACAAGCAGGGAGCAGGCGGAUGGGAACCAGAGCCUCCCGUGUGCACAGCCCCCUCGAUUCUCAGAGGGCAUGCGAGGCCUUGUCCACGCGGUGGUGACCUGGGGUCUCCGGACCCGAGCCAGGUCACCAGACGGCUCUGCAUGGGCAGGUCCCCGGGGAGGAGCCCGGACAUGGAGGUGACGCCGUCCACGCCCUGCUGGGAGGGUCCGAGCCAAACGAGGCGUGUGCAGCCGCACAGAGGCCCCUGGGAGACCAGGCAGAGCCCACCGCAACCUCUCCCAACUACCACCCUCCCCACUCCGCCUCCCUCAGGCAUGAGAUCCAGACUCACCAAAUCUACACACUGCCAGUGGGCCCUGGCCAGACUCACUGCUCAGCCCAGCUGUCCCCUCUCACGCCAGCAGCAGCACACUCAGUUCUGUGCCACUGACAUCCACUGGGGCCCCUGGGCGGGGGCUGGGCCAACACCCCCGCUAUGGGCGCCCCCAUGCUCUCCAUGGUCAGGCCUGGAUGGGGUGGGAGGCAGGCAGUGGCCCAGUCCCUCCCCACUGGUGGCCACACUCACUCCCCAUCAGCAGCUCCAAAACAGAACAAAGAUCUGAGAACAAAUUUUUAUCCUCUGAUUUUAGGCACGAAACCAGAAGCAAACGGUUAGGCAUGCCGAGCCCUACCGUGAAGCUGGCAGUCUGGAGCCCCUGCCGUCCUCGGUGUGCCCCCCGAGCUCCGGUUUCCUCCUCCCGUCUGUGUUUAUAGAUGAAGCUGGGGCACAGGGACCUCAGUGACCUCCCCGAACUCUCAGCAGCAUGGCCAGGACUGUGCACAGCCCAGCUCAGCUCUCUCCUCAGUCCUGACCCUGAGCUCCAGCCCCACUUCCGGAAAGAAACGAGCAACGAGAACAGGAACCCUGGGCUCCAGAUGCCUCCUAACCCGGUUUAACUCACAGCCCCACAAGGACAGCAACGGUGAGCUGCUCGUUGCCUACUCCAACGUGCAGGAGUAGGCACUGGGGGAGGGUGGGCACACUGCUCAUCCCAGCUUUCUAAGAGUCAAGUCAGGAGGCCUAGCAAGUGAGGAGGAGCCCCAGCCAAGGCUGGCAUCAGCAGCUUGGCCUCAGCGUAUAGCUGCAGACCCAAGAGAACCUGCUCCUGAUCAGAGCGACGCUUGGUGCCACCACCCAGGCCUGAGGUAGAAAAUUACCUGAAGCUGGAGGCUGACCAACACUGAGAACUUACACGAAGCUGGGACAAGCUCACGCUCCCCGGCCAGGGUGGAAAGAACUUCGGUGGACUGCUCAGAAGGGCACUGCCUCCGUCGUGGGCAAGUCAGUCCUAAAAGACCCCUCUGGAUCUGUCCUAACACUUGAAAUGCAAGACCCAAACUAGAACAGCUCCAAAUAACCCCAUGCCAAAAUGAAACCCAGCACCUUUCACUUGAGUACAAAAUCCAGCACUCAACAAAGUGAAAUUCACAGUGAUUAGCGCUGCGAUGAAAAAGCUAGAAUUCUAUAUCCAAUGAAAACAUCCUUCACAAGUGAAGUAAAAAUACGUUUUCAGACAAGCAAAAGCGAUCAGCAGACCUGUAAUAUUAAAAAUUUAAAGUUCUACAGGCAGAAGGAAGAUAUCAAAAUGCAGAUUUUUACAAGAAAAUGAAGUGAUGGAAACAACAAAGAUUUUGGCAAUAAGACGUUCCCCGUUUCAUCUCUUAAAAAGAAAACUGCCUAAAACAAACUCGUGUGUGCAAAUAUAAAAAUAAAAUGACUGACAACAAAAAAGGAAAAAAAUGGAAGUGUAGAGCUGUAACAUUAUGUUCUAUAAGGAGCAUUAUUUUAAGGUAGAUUACAUUUGUAUAAACUCAGUCUACCUUAAAAAAAAAUACACACACACCCCCACUCCUACAGCAACCACUAAAAAAACUAAGAGAGGCAUAUAGCCAAUUAGCCAAUAAAAAGUGCUAAACCAAAAGAAGACAGUAAAUAAGAGAAAAACAGAACAGAUGAGACAAGUAGAAAACAAUUAGAAGAUGGAUUUACACUCACCUACUAUUACACUAAAGCUACCUGGUCUGAAUAAAUCAGUGGUCCCCAGCCUUCUGGCACCAGGGACCAGUUUCGUGGAAGACAGUUUUUCCAAAGACUGGCGAGGAGGCUGAGGGGGGAUGGUUUGAUGAUGAUUCUCGUAAGGAGCAGGCAGCCUAGAUCCUGUGAGUGUGCAGUUCAUAGUAGGGCUCACACUUCUACAAGAAUCUAAGGUCACCACUGAUCUGACAAAAGGCAGAGUUCAGGAGGUAGCGUGAGCGAUGGGGAGCGGCAGGCUAUAAAUAGCAAAUGCACUUGCUUGCUCACCACUCACCUGCUGUGUGGCCUUUUUCCUAAAGGACCACAGACUGGUACCCAUCUGUGGCCCAGGGUUUGGGGACCUCUACUUUAAAUCAAAGGCAAAGACUUGCAGACUGGACCAAAAAAGCAAG
ensembl:lncRNA